CCUACGGGGGGCAGCAGUAGGGAAUCUUCCACAAUGGGCGAAAGCCUGAUGGAGCAACGCCGCGUGGGUGAAGAAGGUCUUCGGAUCGUAAAACCCUGUUGUUAGAGAAGAAAGUGCGUGAGAGUAACUGUUCACGUUUCGACGGUAUCUAACCAGAAAGCCACGGCUAACUACGUACCAGCAGCCGCGGUAAUACGUAGGUGGCAAGCGUUAUCCGGAUUUAUUGGGCUGAAAGGGAACGCAGGCGGUCUUUUAAGUCUGAUGUGAAAGGCUUCGGCUUAACCGGAGUAGUGCAUUGGAAACUGGGAGACUUGAGUGCAGAAGAGGAGAGUGGAACUCCAGGUGUAGCGGUGAAAUGCGUAGAUAUAUGGAAGAACACCAGUGGCGAAAGCGGCUCUCUGGUCUGUAACUGACGCUGAGGUUCGAAAGCGUGGGUAGCAAACAGGAUUAGAUACCCCUGUAGUC
rnacentral:rRNA from 1 species